GACGAACGCUGGCGGCGUGCUUAACACAUGCCAGUCGAACGGGCUGCCUGGUUUUCGGAUCGGGUGGUGAGUGGCGAACGGGUGAGUAACACGUGAGUAACCUGCCCCUCUCUUUGGGAUAACGUCGGGAAAUCGGCGCUAAUACCGGGUAUUCUGGCUUCCUCGCAUGGGGUUGUUGGGAAAGGUUUUUUCUGGUGGGGGAUGGGCUCGCGGCCUAUCAGCUUGUUGGUGGGGUGAUGGCCUACCAAGGCGGUGACGGGUAGCCGGCCUGAGAGGGUGUCCGGCCACACUGGGACUGAGACAAGGCCCAGACUCCUACGGGAGGCAGCAGUGGGGAAUAUUGCACAAUGGGCGGAAGCCUGAUGCAGCGACGCCGCGUGGGGGAUGACGGCCUUCGGGUUGUAAACCUCUUUCAGUGCAGAACAAGGCUCUUUGUGGGUUGAGGGUAUGCGCAGAAGAAGCGCCGGCUAACUACGUG
rnacentral:rRNA from 1 species